GACGAACGCUGGCGGCGUGCUUAACACAUGCAAGUCGAACGGAAAGGCCCUGCGUUUGUGGGGUGCUCGAGUGGCGAACGGGUGAGUAACACGUGAGUAACCUGCCCUUGACUUUGGGAUAACUUCAGGAAACUGGGGCUAAUACCGGAUAGGAGCUCCUGCUGCAUGGGGGGGGUUGGAGAGAUUCGGCGGUUGUGGCUGGACUGGCGGCUUAUCAGCUUGUUGGUGGAGUAGUGGCUUACCAAGGCUUUGACGGGUAGCCGGCCUGAGAGCGUGACCGGCCUCCUUGGGACUGCGAGACGGAGCAGUAUGGUAUGUUACGCAGUAGGCGGGAAUAUGGCACAGUGGCCGGAAGCGAGUGGUGGAAACGCUGCGAGCGUGAAGCCCGGCUACGGGUGGUAAACAGCUGUCGCAUGUGACGAACAGUGAGUGACGGUAACUGGUAAAGAAGCACCGGCUAACUACGUG
rnacentral:rRNA from 1 species